ensembl:lncRNA
GUUGUUUUAACAGUUAUAGCAUAAAGAGAAAAUAAAUAAAUCAACAGGUUCGGAGUUGCUUCAGUUCACCAAUUAUCCUCAAAAAGAUUAUGCUGAUUUUUACGGUAACAUGGGCACGGACAGCAGAACAGAUGCAGUGGUGGAGGCCAAAGCAUCUCCUGUCACAGCCGGCUUAUCAACAGAUGCCCCUUUGUCGCUCUCUGCCAUGAGAUCACUGUGAAGCUCGAGCUUAGCGAUAUCGGUUUCGGUCCCCCACACGAGUGGAGGUUGUCAGAUGCAUCUGCUGUCCUGGUGUUUGAUUGCAAGUGAUUUUCCUAUCGGACCAAAGCACUCACGCAGCAGAGAAAGACAUGGAGAUCGACUGAGAGAUUCCUUUAAAACAAACAGGCUCACUAGGAGAGCGUCUUCAAAGACUUGGACUGUGUGUCACCAGUAUGAGGCUUGGCAACUGUCGAUAGGGCUGGUGAACAAAAUCAGGUAGGCAGGAGAAGAGAGAGCAGCUGGCAUAACAAUGUUGUGGCGUUUCUGACUGCGUGGGGUACAAUGAUGUCAGAGAGGAUGUUGAAAAUACCUGAAAGAAUAGGUGUUUGACCUGGACAGGAGAGGCGAAUUACACAUACAGAGGAUGGUUUAGUGAAUCAGUUAGUGGUGACAAAGAAAUCAUCCAUCUUUCUUUCCGCCUCUGACGACUUUGUUCCAGACUUGCACUCAAGGACCAGUGCUGGAGCCAAAAUAAUGGAAAGGAAAAAUACAUUUGGGAGAUGAGAGGAUGCAGGUAGUUGGCAUACGGGAGCUUUUUGUUGGCAAGAAUUGCUGUCGUUAGAGAGCACAGUGUAACUGCUCACUCCCAAUUUCAGCUCAUAGAGGGACGUGAAGCUCCGACAACAUAAUCAUCAUGUUCAAUGUUAUAAGCCAUAUACCGAAGGUUUCCAUGACUUUCCAGCUCUCUACUUCACAAGGUUUUAUUUGGUACAUUCUACCUCAGCAAAGAGACCAGUUGAUGUCAGCACACACAAGACACAAAUCCUGCAGCUGCUCCAUAACCGGUGUACAGCCCUGCAGCCAGUGCAAAGCAGGCUUUGUUUGCCACGUUCUUUGAACAGCCCACUCAAAGUCACAAAUCAAGGAACGACAUAAAUAAGGAUACGCGUGAAGGUCCCGGUCCUCUCAUAAAUGGGGAGGCUGUGUUGCCUCCUGCACAGUCAACGGGGAGGACGCCGUCUUCAAGCGGAGAACCGGACUCGCCAUGAGGAGAGCGCGCGGAGCGUCCGGCCGGCCGGAGCCGCCGCGCAGGUAGCGAGGGCGCAGCCGGACGACGAGCGCGAUUCGCCGCCGAGCCCAAGGACGUACGAGGCGGCCAGACUCAGCCGA